rnacentral:rRNA from 1 species
CAGUCGCCGCGGUAAUACGUAGGGUGCGAGCGUUAAUCGGAAUUACUGGGCGUAAAGCGUGCGCAGGCGGUUAUAUAAGACAGAUGUGAAAUCCCCGGGCUCAACCUGGGACCUGCAUUUGUGACUGUAUAGCUAGAGUACGGUAGAGGGGGAUGGAAUUCCGCGUGUAGCAGUGAAGUGCGUAGAUAUGCGGAGGAAUACCGAUGGCGAAGGCAGCCCCCUGGGCCAAUACUGACGCUCGUGCACGAAAGCGUGGGGAGCAAACAGGAUUAGAUACCCCUGUAGUCCCUGUCUCUUAUAC